UACAGAGGUGGCAAGCGUUGUUCGGAAUUACUGGGCGUAAAGGGCGCGUAGGCGGUCUUUUAAGUUCCGUGUGAAAUCCCUCGGCUCAACUGGGGAACUGCACGGGAAACUGGAGGGCUUGAGUUCGGGAGAGGGAAGCGGAAUUCCGGGUGUAGCGGUGAAAUGCGUAGAUAUCCGGAGGAACACCCAGGGGGAAACCAGUCGACUGGGCAGCACCUGACGCUGAGGUGCGAGAGCGUGGGGAGCGAACCGG
rnacentral:rRNA from 1 species